ACCAUCUUGUACAAAUUCGCCUUGGUACUAAUUGUCAAUGGUUGUGUUUAUUUGGGUUAUCCAGCUCAGUAUCAUGGAUAACUAGAUAUGAAACUGUCUCAUUUUUUCUGAGAGCGCGCCCAAGAACUCGUUUUCGCACUUGGCAGCACAGCCAAUCCCUGGGCAGAUAAACAGCUGACACGCGAAAUAGUGCGCUGCCAGAAAUAAGUCGUCAAAAAUAAUUGACGAAAACAGCUCGUUUUUGCGUUGAUAGAAAAGUGUCGCGAUUUUCGUAUUUUGCGGAAAUGUGUGUUAUAAGAGGAAAAAGUAAAAAAGAAGAAGGUAAAUAUUAAAGUUAGUGCAAGGGUGAUAUUUUAAGCCAAUGAAUUAUGUUGCAAUGAUGUUUUUUCAGCAAGAAAAUGACAAAAGCAAAAAACAAGUGUGUUGGAGGAUGCGUCGGGUAACAUCGAGUACUGGGGAACCGAGCACCCAAAACUAACUUCGGUAACGCGCCAUUUACAUACCUCAAUGGUGGUGUGGAAACUGCGAAAUAUCCAAGUUUAGUAUAAAAAUACCCAAUUUAGGUUUCCACCGGUGUGGCAUCACUAGGUAUAGUUAUAAAAAAUACACACUUUGACAGUGCUCUCACGACAAAAACAGUUUCAUAUCUAGUUAUCCAUGUCAGUACCACCCAGUAUAAGUAUCACAAUCAUUUUUCACGCAAACGGUGUGGAUCAUUCUUGUUGGAGUGGCAGCACUAAUUUUAAACUACUAGCACGAGGAAGACGAAAAUAUAAAAAUGAACUCACUAAAUGGGGAAAAAUGCAUUUAAACGAAAUAAUAUGCACUUCAAGAAAUAUUUAGCGUAAAGGAAAUUUAUUGGAGCAAUGGCAGAAUAUAUUUUUGUGUAUAAAUUCAUUUGUCAGUGCUACCAAACCGUACUGCCAUAUUAUCAGUGACACAAACCAAAAAGAGCGGAUCAUAAAUUGAACCAGAUCUCUAUCAGGAUCUUAUCGUUGUUGUUGCAUUUGCAUGCCAAUUUUUAUCCGGAUCCCGAUCAUUGCCCACGGAAACACAGCAAAUUUUGCCAAACAAAAUUUCUGCAUAACACCGACCUAACCCAUCAAAAGCAUACAUAUCCAUAUUUAUACAUAUAUAUAGAAAUAUGUAUUCAGAUCUCUGCGCAUUAGUAUAUAUUUUGCUAUCAUUUCAAGAGAGUUGUGCAACGUUUUCGCUUCCUUGUAGUUUUAACUUGGAGAGUGGCUAAAUAAAAGCUUGUAAAAGUCGCGUUUUAUAUACUUUAGUGACUAGUAAAUAA